rnacentral:lncRNA from 1 species
CAGAGGCUUCCUGGGCUUUGGGAGGGACUUGUCCUGUAGGAAGCUCUCGUUAUCCAGUAGCUGCCGCAUAGCGAUGUUAGCCAGCUGCUCCAUCAACUUGAAGGUCUCAUUGAUGUUAAGAAACAUGGAAAAAUAAAGCUCACUGUCCCUUGUCCUCACUUUAAUGCACUCAGGGAACAGCAGUGUAGCAUUUUUUUCUAGCUGGGUUACAUCCACCCACUGAAUCACCAGUGUCACCUCUUUGCCCAGCAGAAAGGAAUAGAAACAGAGGUGAUUGACAGUGAGGUACAGCCAGCCCUGCCUGGGUACACGUCCCUUCCAGUAGCUGCAAGAAUAGUAAUUGACCAACUUCUCCACCUCUGGCAUCCCAAACUGCUUCCGCAUCUUCAGUUCAGCCUCUUUGAAUUUUCCUGGAUCCUCUUCACUCUGAGGCUGCUGGUUCUUGUUUUCCUCAGCUAUAAUUCCAUGUAUCUUGCCCUUGACAAAGGUGGUGAUAUCUUCUUCAUUAUCAAAGAUGGACAGAGUCUGCAGUAAGUUAUUCUCCAGCCAUUCCCAGUGCUUCGUGAUCUCCUUACGAGAUGAUCCACAUGCCACUGCCCAAUACACCUGAGAGUCCUGGGUCUGGUGCAGGAUACGGUACGGGGCAACUCUGGCACUGGAAUCCAAAACUACGUCUAAUGUUCCCACAAGAAGACCUGGAAAGCAGGGAUACAGGAAUUAAAGUAAUGUAGUAUCAAAGCAAAGAAUCGAGUUAGGCAAAAAUUCAGCACUGUUACUACAAUAAAACAAACAAAAAACCCAGUACUAUUAUGCAGCCUGUGCAUUAUCAUUACAUAAUAAACAAGAAUCAGCACUGGUACUUGGUCAAGAAAAUCAAGACAUAAAUCCAGUCACUGCAAGGAAAUUACCU